rnacentral:rRNA from 1 species
UGGCGGCGUGCCUAAUACAUGCAAGUCGAGCGCAGGAAGCAGACUGAUCUCCUUCGGGAGUGACGUUUGUGGAAUGAGCGGCGGACGGGUGAGUAACACGUGGGCAACCUGCCUGUAAGACCGGGAUAACUUGCGGAAACGUGAGCUAAUACCGGAUAAAGCUCCAUGCCGCAUGGUAUGGGGAUGAAAGACGGCUUUGCUGUCACUUACAGAUGGGCCCGCGGCGCAUUAGCUAGUUGGUGGGGUAACGGCCUACCAAGGCGACGAUGCGUAGCCGACCUGAGAGGGUGACCGGCCACACUGGGACUGAGACACGGCCCAGACUCCUACGGGAGGCAGCAGUAGGGAAUCUUCCGCAAUGGACGCAAGUCUGACGGAGCAACGCCGCGUGAGCGAUGAAGGUCUUCGGAUCGUAAAGCUCUGUUGUCAGGGAAGAACACGUGUGAGAGUAACUGCUCACACCUUGACGGUACCUGACCAGAAAGCCACGGCUAACUACGUGCCAGCAGCCGCGGUAAUACGUAGGUGGCAAGCGUUGUCCGGAAUUAUUGGGCGUAAAGGGCUCGCAGGCGGUCCCUUAAGUCUGAUGUGAAAUCUUGCGGCUUAACCGCAAGCGGUCAUUGGAAACUGGGGGACUUGAGUACAGAAGAGGAGAGUGGAAUUCCACGUGUAGCGGUGAAAUGCGUAGAGAUGUGGAGGAACACCAGUGGCGAAGGCGGCUCUCUGGUCUGUAACUGACGCUGAGGAGCGAAAGCGUGGGGAGCAAACAGGAUUAGAUACCCUGGUAGUCCACGCCGUAAACGAUGAGUGCUAGGUGUUAGGGGGUUUCCGCCCCUUAGUGCUGCAGUUAACGCAUUAAGCACUCCGCCUGGGGAGUACGGCCGCAAGGCUGAAACUCAAAAGAAUUGAC